rnacentral:rRNA from 1 species
AUGGGCAAGGGCGGGCAGGACGAGGCCGCGCGGCCGGAUGGAUCCGGUUCCCCCGGGGCCGACCCCGACGUGCCCGUCUUCCCCUUCUGGGCGCGCACCCCGAGCGACUGCCUGGCGGAGCUCGGCGUCUCGGCGGACCGCGGCCUCAGCUCCGACGACGCGGCGGCGCGGCUGCACAAGUACGGGCCCAACGAGCUGGAGCGCCACGCGCCGCCGUCCCUGUGGAAGCUGGUGCUCGAGCAGUUCAACGACACGCUCGUCCGCAUCCUCCUCGCCGCCGCCGUCGUCUCCUUCGUGCUCGCGCUCUACGACGGCGCCGAGGGCGGCGAGGUCAGGGCCACCGCCUUCGUCGAGCCGCUCGUCAUCUUCCUCAUCCUCAUCGUCAACGCCGUCGUCGGGGUCUGGCAGGAGAGCAACGCCGAGAAGGCGCUCGAGGCGCUCAAGGAGAUCCAGUCCGAGCACGCCACCGUCAAGCGCGACGGCCGCUGGAAGCAUGGGCUCCCUGCGCGCGACCUCGUCAUCGGAGACAUCGUCGAGCUCCGCGUGGGCGACAAGGUCCCCGCCGACAUGCGUGUGCUCCAGCUUAUCAGCUCUACCCUCCGUGUUGAGCAGGGAUCCCUCACUGGCGAGACCUCUUCGGUUAACAAGACCAGCCACAAGAUUCAUCUCGAGGACACAGAUAUCCAGGGGAAGGAGUGCAUGGUCUUUGCUGGCACCACCAUUGUCAACGGCAGUGCCGUCUGUGUGGUGACUGGAACUGGCAUGGCCACUGAAAUAGGCAAGAUCCAUUCGCAGAUCCAGGAGGCAUCGCAGGAGGAGGAUGACACACCGCUGAAAAAGAAGCUCAAUGAGUUCGGUGAGGCGCUGACUGCCAUUAUUGGAGUGAUAUGUAUCUUGGUUUGGCUCAUUAACGUCAAGUAUUUCCUCACCUGGGAGUAUGUGGAUGGCUGGCCGACGAAUUUUAAGUUCUCAUUCGAGAAGUGCACAUAUUACUUUGAGAUUGCAGUGGCACUGGCUGUUGCUGCAAUUCCAGAGGGCCUGCCUGCUGUGAUCACCACAUGCUUGGCACUAGGCACCAGGAAGAUGGCUCAGAAGAAUGCACUCGUGAGAAAGUUACCCAGUGUUGAGACAUUAGGUUGCACAACAGUGAUUUGCUCUGAUAAGACAGGAACUCUGACCACCAACCAGAUGUCAGCGGUGAGGCUUGUGGCAAUUGGGAGGUGGCCCGAUACACUUAGGAACUUUAAGGUUGAUGGUACCACUUAUGAUCCAAGUGAUGGCAAGAUACAUGACUGGCCAACUUUGAACAUGGAUGAUAACCUCCAGAUGAUUGCGAAGAUAGCUGCACUCUGCAAUGAUGCAAGUAUUGCACACUCUGAGCAUCAAUAUGUUGCUACUGGGAUGCCCACAGAGGCUGCAUUGAAGGUUUUGGUCGAGAAAAUGGGGCUCCCUGGUGGAUAUACUCCAUCUCUGGAUUCAUCUGAUUUGCUAAGGUGCUGUCAAUGGUGGAACAACGAUGCUAAAAGAGUAGGGACACUGGAAUUUGAUCGCACUAGAAAAUCAAUGGGAGUUAUUGUGAAAAAAGCAGAGACUGGAAAGAAUUUGCUGCUUGUGAAGGGAGCAGUAGAAAAUUUGCUAGAGAGAAGUGCCUAUAUUCAGUUGCUCGAUGGAUCAGUUGUGCUCUUGGAUGAGGGUGCCAAGGCACUCGUAUUGUCAACACUUCGUGAAAUGUCUGGCAGUGCAUUGCGCUGUUUGGGCUUUGCAUACAAGGAAGAUCUGGCAGAAUUUGCAACAUAUGAUGGAGAAGAGCAUCCCGCUCACAAAUAUCUACUUGAUCCUGCAUACUACUCUUCCAUAGAGAAUAAUCUGAUAUUCUGUGGUUUUGUUGGUCUAAGGGAUCCUCCACGAGAAGAAGUCCACAAAGCAAUUGAAGAUUGCAGGGCUGCUGGUAUACGUGUUAUGGUGAUAACAGGUGAUAACAAAGAAACAGCAGAGGCAAUAUGCCGUGAGAUUGGGGUUUUUGGUCCCAGUGAAAACAUUAGCUCAAUGAGCUUUGCAGGGAAGGAAUUUAUGGCUCUUCCUGAUAAAAAGAAGAUUUUGAGGCAAACAGGUGGCCUUCUCUUCUCAAGAGCAGAGCCAAAACAUAAGCAGGAAAUUGUUAGGCUGCUCAAAGAAGAUGGUGAAGUUGUUGCAAUGACUGGUGAUGGAGUGAAUGAUGCGCCGGCUCUGAAAUUAGCUGAUAUUGGAAUCGCGAUGGGCAUUACAGGGACUGAGGUUGCAAAAGAAGCUUCAGAUAUGGUGCUUGCAGAUGAUAACUUCAGUACAAUUGUCUCAGCUGUUGGUGAAGGAAGGUCCAUUUACAACAACAUGAAGGCUUUUAUAAGAUAUAUGAUAUCUUCGAACAUUGGAGAAGUUGCUUCCAUAUUCCUCACGUCGGCUUUAGGUAUCCCAGAAGGCCUCAUUCCAGUACAACUUCUGUGGGUCAAUCUUGUUACGGAUGGCCCUCCUGCAACAGCUUUGGGAUUCAAUCCACCAGAUAAGGAUAUCAUGAAGAAACCUCCUAGAAGAAGUGAUGAUUCAUUAAUCACUCCUUGGAUCCUGUUCCGCUACAUGGUUAUUGGGCUGUAUGUUGGGAUUGCAACGGUUGGAAUCUUUAUCAUCUGGUACACUCACGGCUCUUUCCUGGGAAUUGAUCUGGCUAGUGAUGGUCACACUCUUGUUUCAUACUCCCAGCUCUCAAACUGGGGCCAGUGCCCCUCAUGGGAGGGUUUCAACGUGUCAUCAUUCACAGCAGGGGCAAGGACAUUCAAUUUUGAUGAGAACCCUUGCGAUUACUUCCAGGGUGGCAAAAUAAAAGCAACAACCCUCUCCCUGUCUGUCUUGGUGUCCAUUGAGAUGUUCAACUCACUGAAUGCCCUGUCUGAGGAUGGCAGCCUUCUGAGCAUGCCUCCAUUGGUUAACCCCUGGCUUCUUCUGGCAAUGUCGGUGUCAUUUGGGCUUCAUUUUUUGAUCCUCUACGUGCCUUUCCUUACCCAAAUCUUCGGGAUUGUGCCCCUCAGUUUCAACGAAUGGCUUUUGGUCGUAGCAGUUGCAUUCCCAGUGGUUCUCAUCGAUGAGGUUCUUAAGUUUGUGGGGCGGUGCUUGACAGCUCGGGCCAGAAAGCAAUUAGGAAAGCGGAAGGAAGAGUAG